rnacentral:rRNA from 1 species
GAUGGAACUGCCGGUGACAAACCGAGGAAGUGGGGACGACGGUCAAGUCAUCAUGGCCCUUAUGUCCUGGGCUACACACGUGCUACAAUGGCCGGUACAGAGCGCAGCGAAGCCGCGAGGCAAAGCGAAUCGCAAAAAGCCGGUCUCAGUACGGAUUGGAGUCUGAAACUCGACUCCAUGAAGUUGGAAUCGCUAGUAAUCGCGCAUCAGCAUGGCGCGGUGAAUACGUUCCCGGGCCUU